rnacentral:rRNA from 1 species
CCAAUAGCGUAUAUUAAAGUUGCUGCAGUUAAAAAGCUCGUAGUUGAAUUUCGGGACUAAUAUGUCGGUCGUGCCUCGGUACGUACUGGCUUAUUGGUUUCUCCUUUCUGAAGAACCAUGAUGUCAUUUAUUUGGUGUCGUGGGGAAUCAGGACUGUUACUUUGAAAAAAUUAGAGUGUUUAAAGCAGGCUCACGCUUGAAUACAUUAGCAUGGAAUAAUGAAAUAGGACGUUUGAUUCUAUUUUGUUGGUUUCUAGGAUCGACGUAAUGAUUAAUAGGGAUAGUUGGGGGCAUUAGUAUUCAAUUGUCAGAGAUGAAAUUCUUGGAUUUAUUGAAGACUAACUACUGCGAAAGCAUUUGCCAAGGAUGUUUUCAUUAAUCAAGAACGAAAGUUAGGGGAUCGAAGACGAUCAGAUACCGUCGUAGUCUUAACCAUAAACUAUGCCGACUAGGGAUCGGAUGAUGUUAAUUUUUUAAUGACUCAUUCGGCGCCUUACG